UAACGGGGCUAAACCAUGCACCGAAGCUGCGGCAGCGACACUGUGUGUUGUUGGGUAGGGGAGCGUUCUGUAAGCCUGUGAAGGUGUGUCGUGAGGCAUGCUGGAGGUAUCAGAAGUGCGAAUGCUGACAUAAGUAACGAUAAAGCGGGUGAAAAGCCCGCUCGCCGGAAGACCAAGGGUUCCUGUCCAACGUUAAUCGGGGCAGGGUGAGUCGACCCCUAAGGCGAGGCCGAAAGGCGUAGUCGAUGGGAAACGGGUUAAUAUUCCCGUACUUGGUGUUACUGCGAAGGGGGGACGGAGAAGGCUAUGUUGGCCGGGCGACGGUUGUCCCGGUUUAAGCGUGUAGGUGUGUGUUCCAGGUAAAUCCGGUUCACUUUAACACUGAGGCGUGACGACGAGGCACUACGGUGCUGAAGCAACAAAUGCCCUGCUUCCAGGAAAAGCCUCUAAGCAUCAGGUAACAUCAAAUCGUACCCCAAACCGACACAGGUGGUCAGGUAGAGAAUACCAAGGCGCUUGAGAGAACUCGGGUGAAGGAACUAGGCAAAAUGGUGCCGUAACUUCGGGAGAAGGCACGCUGACACGUAGGUGAAGUGAUUUACUCAUGGAGCUGAAGUCAGUCGAAGAUACCAGCUGGCUGCAACUGUUUAUUAAAAACACAGCACUGUGCAAACACGAAAGUGGACGUAUACGGUGUGACGCCUGCCCGGUGCCGGAAGGUUAAUUGAUGGGGUCAGCGCAAGCGAAGCUCCUGAUCGAAGCCCCGGUAAACGGCGGCCGUAACUAUAACGGUCCUAAGGUAGCGAAAUUCCUUGUCGGGUAAGUUCCGACCUGCACGAAUGGCGUAAUGAUGGCCAGGCUGUCUCCACCCGAGACUCAGUGAAAUUGAACUCGCUGUGAAGAUGCAGUGUACCCGCGGCAAGACGGAAAGACCCCGUGAACCUUUACUAUAGCUUGACACUGAACAUUGAGCCUUGAUGUGUAGGAUAGGUGGGAGGCUUUGAAGUGUGGACGCCAGUCUGCAUGGAGCCGACCUUGAAAUACCACCCUUUAAUGUUUGAUGUUCUAACGUGGACCCGUUACCCGGGUUGCGGACAGUGUCUGGUGGGUAGUUUGACUGGGGCGGUCUCCUCC
rnacentral:rRNA from 1 species